GAAAAUGGGUCAGGGUACGUGAUUUAUUUUGAAAGAAAAAAUAGUUUUGGUUCCAUUGGCUCCUUGACCGAAACACUCACCUCCUUCCUAGCUCUGUCUCUCGCUCUAACGAAAACUAGGUUUAGCUUCCGAUCAAAGGAAACCGCUUCUCCCUUCCCCUCACCAUCAUCUUCUACAUCUAUACACACAAGAAUGCAGAGGCGGAGCAGGGGACUUAGCCCUAGCCCCUUUCACCAUGGAUCAGUUGUCGCCUCGACGCCAUUUGCUAGAGCCUCUGUCAUCCUCCGGUACUGACACUGUCAAUAGCGGCUUCUUCAGAUAAGUGGCAUUUCUGAUGCAUUUUUCCUUUGUAUUCCUUUGUAGUGUGUGUCUUCUAUGGUCGCUGUUGUUGUUGGUUCUUCCAACCCAUUUAUCCGAAAGUUGGUUUCUCUUGAUGGUGGGUAAUGCUUCGUAGCAGGUUAGGGUGAAAUUUUUGGAAUUUCUGAUUUAGGGUUUCAUGCCAUUUUUUUAAAUUUCUGGUUUUAUUUUUAUUUUCUGCAAAACUUUAGGGGUAUUGUCUUUAUUGCGAGUUAAAUUUGCUCCUCCGUUACUCUCUAAGUGUUGUUUGUUAAAUGAAGCAAGCCCUUGUGCUCAAUCACUGCUCCUCCGUUUAAGGCAGCAGAAGCACCAUCAAACCCGUUGAAGAGAAACUUUUGACACUUUGCAGUGUUUGUGACCAGAAGAAGGGUCAAAAGACAAAUAGCAAGCACAAGCACAAGUGUUCUGGUUUUCGCCAUCACGAGGCAGAGCACCCAAAAAAAACUAGUAUCAGAUAUAAUUAAAUAUGGAGCAUCUCAAACUCAGCAAAGAAAGUUGUCAUUUUUUGGGACUUGUCUUCUGGUUUAAGCAACACAAUGAAAGUCAGAACAUGCAGGUAUCCUAACGUAAAGUAAUAUAGUGGUGUACUUAGGUUUAGCUUUACACCAAUUUUACUUGCUUGCCAAAAUCAGAAACCGACUUAUAAUUGAUAUAUUUAUGGGUUGGAGUUGAAGUACAAACAAGUCAGCAUAGGCAUCAUUACAUGGUUUUUCAAAAAUUUGGGAAUAUCAAAUUUAAAUGGAAUUACUUAUUUAUGAGGUUAAGUUGUGUUUUGAUUUAAGAUUUCAAUCAUUAUUUUUUUAUUAUGGUAUUUUUAAUAUGGAUAGUAAAUAUCUUUGACAAAAUGUAAUACUAUUCAAAUAAUAUGAUUGGGCAAGAAAUUACUUUUUGGAGUAUUUAGUACUAUUGUAUAUCCAAAAGAUUUGAACAAUUCUGGACAAGAUAGUUGAUACGUUUUCCAUAUUAAUUAAUUUAUAAGCUUAGUGAUAUUUAUAACUCAUUUUAUCUCUUGAUAUCAUAUUAUAAUUUCUGGAUUUUUAUUAAGUUGAUUUAAUUCAAACCAAGGAAAUUUAAUUAUAAUAAUCUAAUUAUACACACAUGUGUAUAGUUCUUUUUAUUUUAUGAAAUAACUUAUAGAGUAAACUCAUUGGUGAAAUUACCGUAGCAUGUAAUUAUGAAAAGUGCCUUGUAAUGUGUAUUGUCCAAUCUAAAUAUAGUUGUUUUUCUUUACAACUUCCAUGGAUAAGAACUUUAUCUCUUGUUUUCCUUAAUUUUUAAAAUAUAGUGAUAGAGCUUUCUGAAUGAGAUAAAAGAACUUACAAGAGUGAGGCACCUCAACAUAAUAAACCUUUAUGGGUUAUGUUAUUGUAGGGGACAAAUGUUCUUGGUUUAUGAAUAUAUAGAAGGAGGAAGUGAUACAACUCGGUUGAAUUCAAAGUAAGAAUAAUUCAAGCCUCACAUGUGGCCUUCACUUUGGCAUAUGUAUGUUCUCAUAAAUGUUGUAUAGGUGUUCUAUAGUAAUACACAUUGUCAUAAAGUUUAUAUUUAAUGUAAUGAACAAAUGAAUCAUAAAUGCUAGGUUAGUAAUUUAGUUAGUAUGACUACUAAAAAAUGUGAGCUAUUAUAGUUAUUGCUCCCUGAUUGUAUGAAUGUGGCUUAAAUAGUAGGGAUCAAUUAUAAUUGGAGAAGAGGAUGAGACAAUAGCUAAAGAUGGAUAAUGCAAGAUACAUAUGAUUCUGAUGCUCUCCCAAUAAAUUCAUUACCUCACUUUCAAUACCUUUCCUGCACUUUAAUUCUCUCUCACGUUUCUCACAUUACAAUCAAGCCAACACAAACAACCUACUUUUACUACUACUUUCUUCAUUACUCAAUUCACGGUUUGUCAUGACACAUGUAGAAUUUAGGCUUAAAUACUUUUUUUAUCUUAUUUUCAUAGUGUUUAUUGCGGAUGGUCCUCAUUUUUACCGAAUGUUUAAAAUGGUUCUUAUUUUUGCAAUUCGUGUUUUAUUUAAUCCUGUUUUUGUGACAUUGUUUAAAUGAGUAACAGAGCACUGCACAUGUGACACUGUUUGUAUUACGUUGCAUUGGGGUAUGUUAUGUGUACUGUACAAGUGUGAUAAUUAGAUAUUUGGGGAUAAAUAGUUGAGUUAGGGUUUUGGUGAGGAAUGUUUGGACAGUUUGUGAGUUUUGGCAAUCUUGUUCUUCCAUUCCCAAUUGGUGUUGCUGCAAUCUUCUUCCUGCAAUCCCAUUAUAUAGGUAUGCCACGGUCCCAAUCUUCUUCUUUUACCUCUGGUUGUAAUCGUUGGAGGCAACCAUGUUGUAGCACUUCGUGCACUGGUGGUUCAACGAGAAAUGAAUUAACCCCGAUUUGUAGUUGCAGAGAGAUGACAACUUUGAGCAUGACAAGAACUCCAAAAAAUAUUGAGUGGUGGUUCGAAUAAUGUGGGCUGCAACUUUUUCAAAUGGUAGUGUGAAGAAGAUGUUAUUGAAAAGGAUGUUAUCAUCAUGACACAAAGGAAGCAAAUUAAUGAUUUGGAGAAGUCAUUGAAGGUUGCUGAGAAGAGGGUGCAAUUAGU